GGUGAACGCUGGCGGUAGGCCUAACACAUGCAAGUCGAACGGCAGCACAGAGGAGCUUGCUCCUUGGGUGGCGAGUGGCGGACGGGUGAGGAAUACAUCGGAAUCUACUCUGUCGUGGGGGAUAACGUAGGGAAACUUACGCUAAUACCGCAUACGACCUACGGGUGAAAGCAGGGGACCUUCGGGCCUUGCGCGAUUGAAUGAGCCGAUGUCGGAUUAGCCAGUUGGCGGGGUAAAGGCCCACCAAGGCGACGAUCCGUAGCUGGUCUGAGAGGAUGAUCAGCCACACUGGAACUGAGACACGGGCCAGACUCCUACGGGAGGCAGCAGUGGGGAAUAUUGGACAAUGGGCGCAAGCCUGAUCCAGCCAUACCGCGUGGGUGAAGAAGGCCUUCGGGUUGUAAAGCCCUUUUGUUGGGAAAGAAAUCCAGCUGGUUAAUACCCGGUUGGGAUGACGGUACCCAAAGAAUAAGCACCGGCUAACUUCGUGCCAGCCGCCGCAGUAA
rnacentral:rRNA from 1 species